rnacentral:rRNA from 1 species
GAUGAACGCUGGCGGCGUGCCUAAUACAUGCAAGUCGAGCGAACAGACGAGGAGCUUGCUCCUCUGACGUUAGCGGCGGACGGGUGAGUAACACGUGGAUAACCUACCUAUAAGACUGGGAUAACUUCGGGAAACCGGGGCUAAUACCGGAUAAUAUAUUGAACCGCAUGGUUCAAUAGUGAAAGACGGUUUUGCUGUCACUUAUAGAUGGAUCCGCGCCGCAUUAGCUAGUUGGUAAGGUAACGGCUUACCAAGGCAACGAUGCGUAGCCGACCUGAGAGGGUGAUCAGCCACACUGGCACUGAGACACGGUCCAGACUCCUACGGGAGGCAGCAGUAGGGAAUCUUCCGAAAUGGGCGAAAGCUUGACGGAGCAACGCCGCGUGAGUGAUGAAGGUCUUCGGAUCGUAAAACUCUGUUAUUAGGGAAGAACAAAUGUGUAAGUAACUAUGCACGUCUUGACGGUACCUAAUCAGAAAGCCACGGCUAACUACGUG